rnacentral:rRNA from 1 species
CCUACGGGCGGCAGCAGUGGGGAAUAUUGGGCAAUGGGCGCAAGCCUGACCCAGCAACGCCGCGUGAAGGAAGAAGGCUUUCGGGUUGUAAACUUCUUUUCUUGGGGACGAACAAAUGACGGUACCCCAGGAAUAAGCCACGGCUCACUACGUGCCAGCAGCCGCGGUCAUACGUAGGUGGCAAGCGUUAUCCGGAUUUAUUGGGUGUAAAGGGCGGGUAGGCGGGAAUGCCAGGCAGAUGUGAAAACUAUGGGCUCCACCCAUAGCCUUCAUUUGAAACUGUAUUUUCUGAGUGCUGGAGAGGACAUCGGAAUUACGUGGGUAGCGGUGAUAUGCGUAGAGAUACGGAGGAACACCAGUGGCGAAGGCGGAUUGCUGGACAGUAACUGACGCUGAGGCGCGAAAGCGUGGGGAGCAAACAGGAUUAGAUACCCCUGUAGUC